GUACUGCUGGAGAGUCCCAAACUAGGACGAAACAGCUGUCCAGCAC
rnacentral:hammerhead_ribozyme from 1 species